UUGCCCUAACUCUCUUCCCUUCUUUCUUCUCUUCUUGCGACGCCUUCCUCCUCUCCCUAGGCCGCCGUCCAAGGCCGCCGCCCCCUCCUUCAUCCGGCUGCACCACCUCUGUCCCGAGAGGCCAGCCACCUCCUCCCUCUUCUUCCUCUCCUCCUUGAUCCCUUCCACCUUCUACAAACAACUCCAUCCCGUUGGAUUUUCAGCCCAUCCUUCCCUGCGCAGUCAUCAGUCGAAGGCCGAUAUCUUAAGAUCCCGACGUCAUAUCUAGAUCCACGACCUACCGCUGGAAAGCUAACACGGAGAUCUACAACAUAUCCAAAAUUGAGAUCGAUCUGACGGACGGAUCUUCAGA
rnacentral:lncRNA from 1 species